GUAGAAAAAAAAUGCCAAUGAUAUUGAUAAGGGGGUUUCAAAUAUUACCUACAUAUAAAUGCUGAGUAAAUAAAGGAUUACAGUGAAGAGAACGUAUAGCAAGAUCUUACAUAUCGUAAUUAUUUACUUCUCUUUGUGUAUUCAAAUAGAGUGACCAUAUUUAAGUUUUUGAGGAAGAGGACACUUCGUCACGAGGGGAGGUGUAGUGGAUAGCAUGCUGCACCAUGACUAUUUCUCCUCAUGUGGUUGGCCAUCUUUCUCUGAAGACUUAUCCAAAAUUGGGCGAUUGCCUAUCAAGUAGGUAUCGAAUUUAACUUCUUUAAGGACGGAAAAAUGGACCUGGACUGUAUUGGAUCGGACUCGACUCGACCACAGUCCCUAAUAAGGACCGACACAACCCUACUGGUCACCCUAAUUCAAAUCCCUCUUCAUAGAAAAAUAUAUGUAAUAUUUCUUGUCAAUUCACCGUUAAGGUAGAAAUAUAUAAUAAAUAGUGAGAACACCA
rnacentral:lncRNA from 1 species